UACGUAGGGCGCAAGCGUUGUCCGGAAUUAUUGGGCGUAAAGAGCUCGUAGGCGGCUUGUCACGUCGGGUGUGAAAGCCCGGGGCUUAACCCCGGGUCUGCAUUCGAUACGGGCAGGCUAGAGUGUGGCAGGGGAGAUCGGAAUUCCUGGUGUAGCGGUGAAAUGCGCAGAUAUCAGGAGGAACACCGGUGGCGAAGGCGGAUCUCUGGGCCAUUACUGACGCUGAGGAGCGAAAGCGUGGGGAGCGAACAGG
rnacentral:rRNA from 1 species